rnacentral:rRNA from 1 species
CAAUAGCGUAUAUUUAAGGUGUUGCAGUUAAAAAGCUCGUAGUCGGAUUUUGGCUGAGAACGAUCGGUCCGCCGUUAGGUGUGCACUGAUUGGUCUCAGCUUCCUGGUGAGGAGGUGUGCUUCACGGCCACUUAGUCACCGUGGUUACUUUGAAAAAAUUAGAGUGUUCAAAGCGGGCUUACGCUUGAAUAUAUUAGCAUGGAAUAACACCAUAGGACUCCUGUCCUAUUUCGUUGGUCUCGGGACGGGAGUAAUGAUUAAGAGGAACAGUUGGGGGCAUUCGUAUUUCAUUGUCAGAGGUGAAAUUCUUGGAUUUAUGAAAGACGAACUUCUGCGAAAGCAUUUGCCAAGGAUGUUUUCAUUGA